rnacentral:tRNA from 1 species
GCCCUCAUAGCUCAGGGGAUAGAGCGUCGGUUUCCUAAACCGUGCGUCGCAGGUUCGAAUCCUGCUGGGGGCG